GCAGAGAGGAAACGAUAAAUCAAGCAUUUUCAACUGAUUUUUCCUCAGCUAUGGAGUUUAGCAUAGACUUAAAAAUAGCAACUGUUGCACUUUAUGUAACUUGUGCCUCAUAUUCUUUUAAAGUGUCUUUUCAGAUAUUUUUGAGAAUGGCUUUCAAUAUGCUCAACCUAAAUGUCUUAUUUUUAUAUUGUUUAAUCUCCAAAUAUGUGCAUGUACUAAAUAAUUAUCUUAAAAUCAGCAAGUUUGUAAAUCAGUUUUCUUAACAUCUCAGAAUCUAAUUAGAUCAUUAUGAAUUCUUCCUCAUUAUCAUUGUCCACUAUGUAACACACUUUUGCAGUCCUGCUUGUGAUUUAUUCAUGUGUUGUCAGUUAUAACAUUCUUAUUUACAGUUGUUAUGCAGUCAGAUUACAAGAAUGUGCUUGGUAUUAAUGCAGAUUUAAUGACAAAAAUAUGCUGAAAUUUUGAUAUUGAACUUGUAUAUCUAUUUAAGAUGUGAUGCAUAAAACCACAAACUUACAAUCAAGGGAAACAUAGAAUAACACACUGAUUGUGCAGUAUACCUUUAAAAAAAUUAAUAGCUUAAAAAAAUAUAAACAAGAAAAACUCUUAAAUCUGGGUCUGAUUAACUAAAUGUUUAACAUUAUCACACUAGAUGUUUAGAUUUUAAAAAAGUAAAGUCUUUAAUUUAGUGUAAUUUCAAGCUGUUUAUUUUCAUUUAUUUUUCUUUUGCAAAUCUUCUGUUGCAAAGUUUCAUUAUUGAAGUUUAGUGGUUCAUUGUAGAAAAUAAUAAGAGACACUGAACAACUGUCUUAGGUUGCCAAAUUUGCUGUUUUCCUAUGGAAAAUGGACUACUAUUAAACAGUUUUCACAGGUUUCUUUUUUCUUUUUCACCCACAGGUUAAAUGUCUAAAUUAUAUUUGACAAAAAAUGCAUCUAUAGAAAUACAGUAUUUCAUUACAUCCAAUGUAUAUUCUACCAAUGACAAAACUGCUUGAUGAUGAGGUAUAGAAAGGAGAGUUUUGUAAAAACCGGGACAAGGGAGCCUGUCUGCUUUCAUUUCCAUGGUAACAGUUUGACUGGUCUCUAAUUACUGCUAGUUAUUAAAAAGUAUGAUGUCAUCUACAGGCCAGCAAUGAAAUUUAAAUUUUAGAUUAUAAUCUGUAAAUAGUUAAUUUUGAAAUGGUUCUAAAAUAAAAGAUUACCAUCC